rnacentral:lncRNA from 1 species
UAAAUGUAUAGUUCAAGGAAGAUUAGCUAUAGUUCAAAACUUAUCUAUUACUCUUUUGGUUUGAUAGAAUUAUAUGUACUCAUCCCAUGCAAACAUGCCAUGACUAGAUGGUUUAUGCAAUGCAGUAGACAGUUACUACUUUGAUGAUAACAUGUGCUUUCAUUCCAGAAUAUGUGCUUCAUUACAUAGAUGAUACACAUUGUUUCACUUGAUGAGAUGAGCACAAAUAUCCAGCACCAUCAGGAUUACCAUACAGACACAAAGAAAGCAUAUUGCCUUCAAUAUACUAAUACCUUCUUUACAGAUAGCUAAUAGUUCUUCUUUCCUCGAAGAUACAACACCACUGAAACCAACUUCUUCCUUCAUCUUCGAUUAAAUCCCCUGCAGACUUGAUUCAACUACCAUCACCACCCCAGCUCCGUUGUAUUCACCUACAGAUGCACC